GUUUUCUAUAUGGUAAGGCAGGAGACACAGCACAUAUAAUAAAACUGGAAAGAUCCAGGAAAGGUUAGAAUGGCUCCUGUGCAAGAAUGACAGACAAAAUUUGUAAAAUAUAUUGCGUAUCU
ensembl:snRNA U6 U6 spliceosomal RNA